rnacentral:rRNA from 1 species
AGAGUUUGAUUAUGGCUCAGGAUGAACGCUAGCUACAGGCUUAACACAUGCAAGUCGAGGGGCAGCAUGGAGUCAGCUUGCUGACUUGAUGGCGACCGGCGCACGGGUGAGUAACGCGUAUCCAACCUUCCCCUUAGCAGGGCAUAGCCCGGUGAAAAUCGGAUUAACACCCUAUGUUGUUCGAAGCAGGCAUCUAAUUUGAACCAAAGGUUUACCGCUAAGGGAUGGGGAUGCGUCUGAUUAGGUUGUAGGCGGGGUAACGGCCCACCUAGCCGACGAUCAGUAGGGGUUCUGAGAGGAAGGUCCCCCACAUUGGAACUGAGACACGGUCCAAACUCCUACGGGAGGCAGCAGUGAGGAAUAUUGGUCAAUGGGCGAGAGCCUGAACCAGCCAAGUAGCCGUGCAGGAUGACGGCCCUAUGGGUUGUAAACUGCUUUUAUACAGGGAUAAAGUCGGGGACGUGUUCCCGUUUGCAGGUACUGUAUGAAUAAGGACCGGCUAAUUCCGUGCCAGCCGCAGC